AGUUCUCUUUAUUAUUUAAAAUAUUAUUUAGAACAUUAUUUAGAACAUCAAGUAAUCAAGUUGACUUCGUGUUGCAGUAAUUUACAAUGAGGAUAAGUCGACAAAAUAACGAAGCAAUUCCCAAAGGUCUACAAGUUUACGUUCAUGAGGAAGCGAGAAGCGUCGCUAAAACCCAAUGAACCUUCUCUAGUCUGAUGAAAUAAUUCGAAAACGGUAUUCAAAUAUGGAGAACCACUUGCUCGACGUUCUUCCUCACAAUAGAAUCAUUGUGUCCAUGUAACUGGAAUAAAUCUUGAAGGCUAUUUUAAGGAUAAUAAAGGAACAAUCAUCAACAAUCUCGUGUGAGUCAUUGUUGGAUAACUUCUAACAUGUUUCACAACGAGCACCAAGGAUCCUUUGUUAUCAUUGUUCAUCUAUGCCUUCCAUAAGCAGUGGUGAAAAGAAGACAAAGAAGAAGAAGAAGAAGAAGAAGAGAAAGAGAAGGAGGAAGAGGAAGAAGAAGAAAAAGAGGAGAAAGAAGAUGGAGAAAAAGAAGGGCAGAGAAGAAGGGCCCCAUGCUCUUGACGUCGCCCCAAUGAGUUAAGAUGUUAUCAGACUGGCUCGCUGUGUUUACCCAAAGGCGGACUAAAGCCGAUGCUAGCCUCGUCGUCCCGUCUCCUUUACAAGCUUUAUCAGUUAUUUACAUUCAGAGCCGACCAAGGAGAGCCUUCCUUCAAACCUAUUCAACCUACCACUAACACCAUCGCCACCGGGAACAUCGUAAAUGACACAUUUCGAGAAUAGAAAAAAAAAAUAUCGUGCUAACGAGGAAAACGAAGGUAAAAUCGCUAAGAGCCAGUCUUCCGGAAGAAGAUAAAACGAUUUUGUAGUACUUAGGCGAUUCGCAAAACGAGGCAAGCAAAGUUAUGCCAUAGAAGUUAUGGUCUCGUACUCUCUCAUGAUUCCAAUGUCUAUGGGACGCCUCCAAGGAAAAGUUUGCUCUUGACGCGGUGAGUUACACGUGACGAAUUCAAAUCAGGCGUAAAUACUUAAAGCAAACACUCCUACUGGGGGGUAGAAACUGAGUUUUAAAAUAAAGCAUUAGAAGAUCGUCGAGCACCGAGAUAGUUAGGCGGGGUGGUACCACCCCAUCCCUCCAAUCCUUUCCUCUUUCUACCCUCAUCCCCUCUCCCUCCCCCCUCUCUCCUAAAAGUUCACCACGAAGUUUAUGUAAACUCGAAAACUUUCGGAGUGAACUAGCUCCCCGAACACAAAUUGCAACCACAGUGAAUGAAUCAAAGAGUGACCAUUACGCGAUUCUGAGUAUACAAAAAGGGAGAACUGAUUUAGAAAAUUAUGGGAAUGAGAAGGAAGAAACGAAGAUGAUCAAAGAGUGAAUAAAUAAAAUCUAAUAAAGUCGAGGAAGUAACGAUUCGUUUUUUACUUAUCAUAAAGAUAAGCGACUUUGUUGCUGUGCCGAUAUAUUAUAAUGACAAAGAGUGACAAAAAAAAAAAAAAAAAAGAAAAAAAGAAACGUUCUCACUUGCCGCAUACCUGCUGGCUAAAAGCUAUAGAAAGUGCACUAGAAAAGUUUUCAUCAUUUUUAACCACGCGAGAAGAACAGAAAAACUGCAUUUGUACUUGGUAACGUCUAUAUUCUUCGAGAAGAAACACGAGAAGAUUUUGUCAGAGAAAAAGGAAAAGAGAGAGAGAGAGAGAGAGUAUGCAAGAUGUAUUACUACUGAAUGAAUCGAUUUCGUUCGGAAAUCGAAACGUGUUGACCGAGUUUGCUUCAACUUCGAUGAGAGAUAUGAUAUGGUAAUAUCCAUGGAUAAUUUAGGAAAAUGUAUAAUUAUCUCGACCGUUACGAAGACCAUUUUCACAUUCGAGAACGAGGAACGCAACCCCUCGCGGCAAGUUUAUCCAAUAUCGUUGAAACAACGAUAUUGGGGUUACAAGAAGAUCGCUACUGGUAUAUAGUUGGAACGUACUUUGAGAAGGCCUGCAAAUUGCCUUCGUUAGUAAAGAGGUACCCUUUGAAAGUCCCUA